CGACCUUUGUGGCGUUGAAAAAUGUGGUCCGACCUUUGGCGUCUCUUUUGUCCAAUAUGUUAUCCGGGAGUGAUCCGGCGGAAUCCGAACGAGUGAGACGUUUCUUAUUUAUGAGUGGGGAUUGAGAGUAACCUGAUUUUGAUCGAUAUGAUAAGGAGAUGCAUAUACAUACAUCACUUCAGAUUGUUACAGUCCUGCCCCGGGCAAAGCUGUGGACAUAUCAUAAGACACCACUGGGAAUCCAGGCACACAACAUGAAGUUAAUAAAUAAUCCGGUUCCGGUUUUUGAGUUAUUCUCUCCAACACCUCAAAGAAUCUUCCAUUGCUUGAAAAUGUAAACGAAUCCUGGCGUUGACAACACCCCUGAGCCUUGGCGCAUAUAGAUGCAUUAAUUGCUCCAACUUUGGUAUUGAUCUUAUUAUAUAAACAACCUUGUAUUAAA